rnacentral:misc_RNA from 1 species
AUUUCAAUGGGUCAAAGGAAAGACUUUGGGGUGUCUUUUUGUCAGGGAGAGAUCGUGACCCUCCCGUCGCUGACCUCCUUGGAUCUCCGAGAGUGUUUGGCUGCUACCCAUGCAAUGCCUGAGGUUGCCGAUGGCGAGGUGGUCAGUCUCCGAGCCCACUUGGUGGAGGUGGAUCGCCGUGUCACGGGUCAAUAUUGCCUUUUGCUUUUGCGGAGAUCCCUUUUUGGUUGUCUUGACAUCUCUUUGUCCUUUUCAGAACUAGAACUUGAGGCCGCGGGCCUCCACAAGGAUGCGAACGAGGUGGUCACCUUUGUUCGAGCCUAGGGCGUCGAUCGAGGAGAGCGCCUUCUCGAUGCCAC